UGGCAGAGUUAUGUAGGGACUGUAUUUGUUGUAACUCACAACAUCCGGGGCCGGCUGGUUCGGAACGGUUUGCUGCUGACCCAACAGUUGAAGGAGCUGAAAUGAAAACAUUCAUAAUUUGACGUGUUUGAUCAUCUGAGCGAGUCUUCACAGCACGACCACCAGGAUGAGCCGUCUCAGUACCGCCGUGCCCGCCGAACGGUACCUCGCGGACAGUCAGGUUCUGUUCUACCUGACUGAUGCUGUGACUCAGCUGCUGGAGCACAAAGAGGAGUACACCCAGUUCGGCCUGAUCCGAUACUUCGCUGAAUAUUUCAGCAGCGUGAAGAACAGCAACCACGUCCUUUUCAGGGAGUUUAACUACAUCAGAGCCACUGAGCACAACCGAGCAUCCUUCAUCAGAGUCUUCUGGAGGUGCUUCAGACAGAUCGGCAAGAGCGGAGACUUGCUGUCAGUACCGGAGUAUCGGUCUCUGCUGCAGCUGCUGUGUCCAGACUUCCCGCUGGAGGUGGUUCAGAGCACAGCCAGAAUAGUUCUGACGGACGAUGCCACUGAUUGUUUGAUGUCGUUCUCUGACUUCAUUUAUGCCUUCCAGCUGCAGUUCUACUACCAAGAGUUCUUGGACAGCGUUCUAGAGAUCUACUUGGAUCUGUUGGCAGGAAAGAGUCCAAACACCGUCAUUGUCCCCACCUCCUCCUCCAUCGAGCAGCUCCUCUCUGCCAAAGUGGAGGACAACGAUAAGGAGGAGCAGCAGACCGGCGUGGACUCGUCCACCCUGUCUCAGUGUGUGGACGCCCUCUGUGAUAGGAUCAACUACAGUCAUCCCUCCAGGUCGUGUGUGAGGGACAUCCUGGAGCAGACGGACAGAGUCACUUACUCAGGUCUCCUUGUCAGUCUGGCUGAACACGAGAGCAUCAACCAGACCAUUGGAGCUUUACCCAGCAGGGCCGAGCUGCUCAUCGACCCUGAGAUGGACCAGGAACUGGACAAACUAAUCGCUCAGAUCUCAGUCAGUCCCGGCAGCAACAGCAGCGGCAGUGCAGUGGGGGGGCUGAAGGAGGUGCAGAGGAGGGCCUCCCCCCGCAGGAACAUCCACCACAGAAGGAGGAUGGAGGUGGAGAGUGAUGGCUCCACGGAGGAGACGGACUCUUCGGAAAACUGACCUCAGACCCACCGUUUACCAGCUGUUAACCAGUCAGGAAACGGGUUGUUUACCGACUGAGGUCAUGAUGCGAUGUUCACGAAUGAAUCAAAUCUUCAGAACGGCUCUUCAAGGUGAACGAUGGGAGCAGAUUCCUUGUUGAGAACUGUUCAUGUAAUCUAUCAGCAACCAGAGGAAUGCUUCGCCCCUGCGCCAUCUCACUGAUGCUUUACUCGCACGCACUAUACUAUACAUGUGUACAAGGUAUAUGUAUGCAUACACACAUGCACGCACUAUACUAUACAUGUGUACAAGGUAUAUGUAUGUAUACACACAUGCACGCACUAUAC